CUCUCCCUUUCCAAUAAAACGGAUUCUGGGCUGCAUCCUUGCUUGUCUCGUGUUUGUCAUUGAAAUCUCUGGAGGUGGGUCGGGUUCACUUCCUUGAGCCCUAAUUGCGGGGGAGGCCAGUUUCUGUCUCGCACAGAUAGGUCCCACCAUGUGGCACAUUCCCCAAAGUAUAGGAAAAGGAUUCAAACAAUGCCACAAAGGCACAAAUGAGACCAACCGCAGAAGCCGAGCGGAUCCCAGUCGUGUCGUCUUAAAAGCCUCAGAAAUGAGGAAACAGAAAAUAAGUCCUGACACAGCGUUGCAGUCAUUCUGUGUUGUCUUCCCUCAUGGCAUUUCGAACACCCGCCGUCUUAAAAAGAAACGAAGAAGCAAGAAAAAAAAAAAUCUGAUUUCUUAAAGUUCAUUUUGAAACAUGAGAAUAACUAGAACUGGGGGACUGGCCAACCACUAAAACCAUCGCCGGCAACGAUCAAUUCAGUUAGGAUUCACAUGUGCCAUGGAAGUGGCUGACAUUUUUCCGAAAUUGGUUGCCAUGCUGAUGACAAAGAUCGAAAACGGAAAAUCGUGCGGGGCUAACGAGCCCUAGGUGCCUUUUGCUGACCCAUCUGGAACUGGAAUCCAUUACGUCCACAUGCCUUCCACUUGGCAUUGUCACAGCCAUGGUGUCCUUUGGUUGUCACAGGACCACUGCAGGACGUCAAGGUGAGGUCAUGGAAAUGAAGGUCGUGCUCUCACUUCAGCUUCGAUCCUGGGGCCUUUGUAAAGGGAUUCCCUGCCUUUACCCUGAGCAGUUCUGCUUCACCAGGUCUGGAAUGGAGUCCAGGAGUCUGUAUUUUCAACCACCUCCCAGGUGAUUAGGAUUCAGGUGGUGCAAAGACCACACUCCCAGAAACACCAGGCUGGGCAAAGUUAUGGAACUUUUUAAGAGGGAUAUAGGCAGGGGCACCUGGGUGGCUCAGUUGGUUAAGCGUCUGACUGGGUUUCAGCUCAGGUCAUGAUCUCAUGGUUUGUGAGCUUGAGCCCCAAGUCGGGCACUGCGCUGACAUCAUAGAGCCUGCGUGACAUUCUCUCUCUCUGCCCCUCCCCUGCACACACACACACACACACACACACACGCACUCUCUCUCUCUCUCUCUCAAUAAAUAAAUAAAUAAAUAAACUUAAAUUUUUUUUUAAAAGGAUUAUGAGCAGAUCCAGUUUGUUCCUGGUUCAGGCUGUGUUGUGUCUUCAGCAUGUCUAACUGAAGAGGUUGGAUUGUUUGUCUCACCCCUACCCAUCCUGGAAGAUGGUCAGUUCAACCAUAAAGAGUCCAGAAUGCAGGUGUGAGCCCAUUCCCAGAAAACACAAUUUGGGGGACGAAGGCCAAGGAGUUGGCAGGAGUCGUUGAGCUGAUGUUCUGCUUCUGGGAAUUGAUCAACUUGAGCAAGUUUUCAUUUGCCUUCUGAUUUCACGGACUUGUAUAUUAAUAAAACAAAAACAACAUUUACUUUCAAGUGGGGAAGCACAAGAAUAUUCUGAGGAAAAAAAUCAAGCGUGCUAGCAAAAUUAUUUAAUAACACUUUGCCAAUAAAGAUGAAAAGCCUUCUCAAAUUUAUUUCAUUCAAAAGGCUUUCCAAGCUUUUGGACCAGGGAGGAUAUAAUUUGGUGAGCUUGGAGAAAUUUGAGGCAUUGGCAUGGAACCCAGCGGGAAAGUAGGUGUUUGCUUUGUGGAGGGGGGGGUGUGGGAUUAGAGAUGGGGUCUCAGUUUGACAAGGAUGAUUCCAUUGCCUGGAAUGACCCAGCAGGGCACUCAUAUGAGCAAGAAUUUGUUUUCAAGGGGCUCUCUGGUCCUAGGACACCUGCCUUUAUGACAUUUGCUUUCCUUGGGAGCCAAACUAUGCAAAUGGUGCUGUCCUGCUCAGAAGUUGGUCCACAUGGUCCAGGGCACAUGACUCCACGGAAAGUAUGGGCUUAGAACAUGCAGAUCUAUGCUUAAGUUCCAUUCUGGCUACUUACCAGGUUUUUGCCCCCUUGAGCAAGGCAAAAUCUUCUAUGAGCUUUUGUUUGGGAUCUCAAGUAAAAUGCUGUAGGUAUAUAUACUUUAUAAAUACAUAUGUAUGACAUCAUUAAAUAAUAAGUAAUAAUAAUCAUGAUACUUAUAAUAAUUAUCAUUGUGACGAUGUCUAGGACUGUAUCAAUUUAUUCUUUCCUUCUCUCUCAACUGGGGGCUGGAGCUAAAUAUUUUUCUUUUAAAUAGCCAUAAAGAAAAGGUAAAUCAUUAUUUCUUGAGGGUGUAUUUGUUUGAAAAUGAUCAAGUAUUUUGAUCUAUGUGUGGCAUAUAAAAUUGCUGAUCAAAUUAGGAAAACCAAUUUUUAAAAAUUAUAAAUCAGAUAUAAUUACGAAGUAAUGACUGAUUUUUUUUAUGGGAGUUAGAAACUAUCUUUUCAGGCAAUUCCAAAAAUGACAUUCAAGAUGUGUUUUGGGCAAUUAUUGAACAGGGAUAGUAUUAAAGCCAUUAACGUGUUUUUCUUUUUGUACUUCUUUGUAGAGUGGGCCUCAUCAUUUCCAACCAGAGGUUUAAUUGCCUCAGGAGAUAUUAGAAUUACCAUACCAACAAUGGAGACAAAAGAGAGGCAAGGUUUUGAUUUCCAAAAUUGGAAAUUAGAGUCAAUUGUGAGACUCUAUUAGGAAAUAGAAGAAAUUUCUACGGUCUGAAUUUUUCAGAUCAUCUCCAAAUACACCAAAAGCAAACUUGGAGGUCUUAACAUUAUUUUGCUCUGUAGCAAAGAUACAGGAUAUGACAUGAAGGAAGUUGGAGUCAGAGAAGAAGGGGCGGUAGGAAGCCCCCUCUCUCGGCUGGAGGAAGGCCAAGAAAGGCAGAGUUAGGACCAAGAGCUGAGCCGUGUGUGUUUUCUCCCUUUGUGUCUGUCAACAUUCCAGAAGUGAGAUGGGAGAGGAAGAAGCAAGGAGCCUGAAGACAUAUAGGUACAAGGCCUUACUUCUCAGGAAAUCAACGGUAUCACAGUGAACUCCAAGUUCAACAUGGCACAAGAUGGCACCAGACACCUCUAGAUUAGAUGUAGGGAGCUAUUCGGGCACUGGUGUGAGCUAGUCCCUGGUUACCUACGUCCUGACUGUUUUAUGCAGCCAUGUGAAGGUGUCUUGCAUUCCAGUGAAAAGGCAGGAGCUUGGAGUCUGGACAAGUAGACAUUACUGAGAAGGGUCUUCGUGACCGGAGGCAAAUGCAAUGAACUGUGCAACGCGUCAGUGGGGAACAGCAAUGUAUUCCCAAGAGACUGCGAACCAUGCAUUGGUGGAGACCAGCAAAAAGCCCAAACUGGACUGGAGCAGGGGUCCACUUCAGAGACGAGUGGUCCUCAGAGAAAAGCACCAGGACCAGAGUCCUUACUCUGCUGCUACGAUGUCAUGUGUAUUUCCUUUUGUGAACAGACCCCACCAGCUAAACUUGCGAACAUUCUGGUUUUGCGGGUUUAGACCCUACACACUACACAAUUAUCACGGGCGUGUCUGUACCUUUCCUCAAAGUGAAUACUUUGAAUAUGACUGCAUUCAUUUAGAUUUAUGUUUGUUAGUGACCGUGACUCUGUUUUAGUCCUACCUGCUGUGUGCAUGCAUGCUGUACUCACCUGAUUCUCUUUCAGUGUCAUCUGCCCCUGUUCCUUACACCCAAGGAAGGUCCUAACACAUCUAAAAAUCUUCUCAUUUUGUUGUACUCUCUGAACAAAGUUGGCCGGAAAGAAGCCAAUCCUGUCUUGAAUUUUUCCCUGAAAGGAAAAAGGAGGCAUGCAUCCGCAAUUGUAACAUCUGUCGUAAUGAUGGUUACCAGAUAGUUACCAAAUAAAUAAAUUUCUCUUUCUUUUAAAGAAAGAGAAAUACUUACUUUCCACCAAUCUUCAUUGGUGUCUUCUAGAAGAGUAAUCAUGUCUCCUGGCCUAUAAUGAAGACAGAAUGAGUUGAGGGAGGAAGGAGAGGGGGGACCAAAAGAAAAAAAAAGAUGAUUACUUUAGAGUCAGAAGCAAUAGUUUUGUGUUUAUACAAAUAAUCCUAAAAUAAACAGAAGUGAAAUAAUUAUGACAUUUGACCAGUUCUUUCCACCCAUAAAAAUAGUUUUGUUAUAUAUUCAAAGUAAGUGUUAUUUCUGCGCUGUAUUUAAAAUUUUUUUAAUGUUUUAUUUAUUUUUUGAGAGACAGAGAGAGAUAGAGCCUGAGUGGAGGAGGGGCAGAGAGAGAGGGAGACACAGAAUCUGAAGCAGGCUCCAGGCUCCAGGCUGUCAGCACAAGGCCCGAUGCGGGGCUCGAACCCACAAACUGCACUGCACGAUCAUGACCUGAGCUGAAGUCGGGUGCUUACCCGACUGAGCCACCCAGGUGCCCUCUCUGUGCCGUAUUAAAAAAAUAUAUAGUAGCUCUAUUUUUACAGACAGAUAAGGGUUCUUUAUUAUUCUUUUAGAAAAAUUUCCUAUUCAUAUUUGCCACUUUCUGUUAUGGAUGUGACAUUAUAAUGAUCUUUCUGAGGCUAUUACUAUGUUUUUAAAAUGAUGUUUCUUUCCUUUAUUAAAUUCUUUGUUUCCUCUAGAAUUGGUUGGCCUCGUCUUUAUUUUACGGCUCCUCCUUCGUGUCGAGAUUUUCUCCAACAUCGUGUCCCUUGGCUGUUCCUUUACGUUAACGGCUGACGACAGAGGCAGACGGGUGUGGACCGCUGGGUGAGCUUCUCUACUACUACUGCCUCUGUGUCUGCACUGGGUCUCUCUCCCAAGUACAAGAGCUAAUUCCAGGCUCUGUUUAAGCAAGCAGAGUGCAUCCACUGGGGUGUCUCAUUUUUGGACGCUCGAAAAUGCAGGAGGCAAGCGGUCUGGGGCCUCCGACCGCUAACCCCAUGGCUAAAAUAGGAGGACUCUCUUAACCCUGUUGAGGGAGACGUCAGUUUAUUCGCCCGUUAAGUACAGCCGCCUUUUCCUUCCCUCCUCCUGCUCUCUAGAAAGUCUGGAGUCUAGAGUUCAUCUAAACACAGCUCCCUUUCUCCUUUCUGUGAGACUUCUGUGCUCACACAGGAGCCCUCCCUAGGCCUGGGUUCUCUUUCUUUUGAGUACAGGUACUCCUCGAUUUUGGCAUCAAAUGCUAGUCGUUAUAAGCAGUGACGGGGUGUCGUGCACACGGCUGGGGGUCCGUAUCAGUUACAUAUUGCCGUGACAACGCUGUGUAACAUACUGCCACAAAACCUCAGUGGCUCCCUCGCGUGCCCGGGUGGCGGCAGGCUGUUGGCUAGGUUGACCGGGGGAGACGUCGCCCUAUUUCCGGUUUGUCACACCCCACGAGGCCAAUCUGGACUUUCGUGACAGUGCCAGAAUAUCAAGAGCGGCAAAUGGAAACAUGCAGAGAAACACAUUAAGGGCCUCUCAAGCCGGGCUUGGAACUGACAAAUGGUUACUCCUGCCUCAUUUUAUUGGGGAAAGUACGUCAUAAGGCCAGUCCAGAUUCAAGGGAUGGCAGACAGAUGCACCUUCUGUGGUGACGGAAACCGUGAAGCGUCACGGCCAAGGGCACGAGUACAGGAAUUGGGGUCAUGAAUGCGAUCAAGUCACUGGACACAGACAGCCUCGUGUUCUUCGGUGAAUCUGCUGUGAGUUCAGCGUCUCCUUGGAAGUGUCCCUACAUCUAAAGUCAUUCUUUCCUGAGCACUGUGGUCUCCAGGCAUCUUCUCUCUUCUCACUUCUAUGUGCUGCAUUUUGCCAGGAAAGUCUCCAAAUCUGGGGGUCUCUGAUAGUAUUAUUUCUUGUUUUCUAGUACCAUUAUGGAUGUAUUCUCAAUAUAUAUAUGCACAUGUAUAUGUAUAUAU